rnacentral:misc_RNA from 1 species
UCCCAUUCGACACGGGCAGUCCGACUAGAGUGCCCCUUUCGGGUCGCAACUAGUCGCAGGGGUUUCGCUCGUUACGGGACUUAACCCAACAUCUCACGACACGAGCUGACGACAGCCAUGCAACACCUGAUGAAGGCUCCCCUUGCGGGGUCGUUACCGUUUCCGGUUUCUACCACCUCCACUUCAAGCCCGGGUAAGGUUCUUCGCGUUGCAUCGAAUUGAACCACAUGCUCCACCGCUUGUGCGAGCCCCCGUCAAUUCCUUUGAGUUUUAACCUUGCGGCCGUACUCCCCAGGCGGGACACUUAACGCGUUAGCUGCAGCAGAGAAAAGCAAGCCUUCCUCCACUCAGUGUCCAUCGUUUACGGCUGGGACUAC